rnacentral:lncRNA from 1 species
CAUCCAUAAGUAUCAUUUUUCCUUUAAAAACGGCUGCUCAAAGCCAGGUAGACCAAUACAUUAUUCCUAUGUUACUUAUCACUUGAAAACCAUUCACAGCACGGAUGGUUCAAAUUUUUGGAGGGGGAGGACAGACCGUGCAAAUACACGCGAAGUCAUGCUCACAGCUAGCAACAGCAUUGCCUCCCCAUAUUUUGUUGCAACGGUAUUGGCACACCUCCAAAUUACAAUUCCCUUUGUACCGGAAUGUUUCGCAGUCCUCCGCCGUCACCUUCAUGGCCACGCCUGUGGAUCAAUCCCAGAGCAAACAACGAAGAGAAAAUCAAUAUCAGAAGAUCUGCUGCGAGGUUAACUUUGCCACGAUUUUAUCGUAUAGAUAGAGGAGGCACAAGAAUUACUCCUACAUGGAAAAGAAUUUGCUUGGAGGAGGAAUGUACGUGCCUAAAGAUAGAACCACAAGGGCAAGGACCAGGAAGAACAAGCAGCGAGUCCUCAUCUUAGAUUUGUUAGAAAUUUUGGCUAGUGAUCACGGCGCUAAUGGCUCGUGAAGAUGAUCAGAUGUCGGUGUGUGGU